rnacentral:rRNA from 1 species
AUGGACCUUGGGCGCCUGAACUAUGGGGUCAUUACUAUCAUUCCCAAAGUCCCGGGGGCCUCGGAUAUUCGCCAAUUCCGCCCGAGCACAGUGAUCAACAUGAUCUUGGCUAAAGGGUACGCCAAUGGGGUGACCCUUCCAGCUGACUCUGUCACUCACCCCAACCAGUCCGCCUUCAUCCAAGGCCGGUUUAUUUUGGAUGGGGUGUUGGUCUUCCACGAAGUCCUUCACAAAGUCCGAACCAAGCACCACCGUGCGGUCUUCCUGAAGCUCGACUUCCAUAAAGCCCAUGACACUGUCCAUUGGCCCUUCCUUCGGGAAGUCUGGCUAAGCAAGGGCUUCGACGACCGAUGGGUGACCCAUGUUAUGCAGCUCGUCACUUGCGGUCGAAAGGCGGUUAACAUUAACAAUGAGGUCGGGUCUUACUUCCCCACCCUUUGUGGGGUCCGCCAGGGUGACCCGUUCUCUCUGUUUCUAUUCAACAUGGUUGCCGAUGCCCUCACGGUCAUUCUUGAUAAGGCCAAAGCUUGUGGCCAUAUCCGCGGCGUUGUCCCCCACCUAGUGGGAGGGGGAGGGGUCAGGGUUCCGCGUCUAACAUUGCCAACCUGA